CGCGCCCCGUGCCCUUGCCGCCGCGCCCUUAUCCCUUCUCUCAGGUGCCUCAUCCCCUCCUCUCCUCCUCAGACCACGCCGGCCCUUCCUGCUCGCGCCCGAGCUCCACCACCGGCUGCCAUGGCCACCGAGAUCCACUCGGCGGUGAAAUCCCACUUCCGGCCAUCAUCUUCGACAACCAACGGCUAGAAUCGACUUCCCUCGACUCACUGAAGCUCAUGCUCUCCUCGUUCCAUCGCGUUCCGCAAGUUUCCGCGCUCGUUCCCAAGCCAUGCCGCCAUCGGCAAGCUGCUACUCGCCGCGAGCUGCGCUCACGCACCUCUGUGUCGCGCCGCCGAGCGCCUCCACUCCGCCCGGCCCUGCUGAACCCUCCCAUGGCCGCCCUGUCAUCGACCACUCACCGGAGCGCCGCCGCACGCUGCCACCACCACCGCAGAGGUGCUGCUCCCACCGCCAGCCCUCUCUCGGCCACCCCAGCUCUAACCGAGCACACCUACAGUUCACGUGAAGGACCUUGUGCAGCAAUUCAAAGAAGACCAGGGGGCUAACUGCACAAACCAAGACUCAGUGACUGAACUGUCGGAGAACGAACCCGUUGAGCCUGCCGAGUCCAUCGAGCCUGAACCCGGAGUCUAGUUCGUGGUCGAGCCCGAAGCUAACCAAGGCAAUCAGCUAAGCAUAUUCCUUGCCCCUAUCUAAUCUGAUUUAGUUUAGCUAUUCCACUUGGGUAUUGUGGGCUUUAUAUGUAUAGU